rnacentral:rRNA from 1 species
CAGCAGCCGCGGUAAUGCGAAGGGGGCUAGCGUUGUUCGGAAUUACUGGGCGUAAAGCGCACGUAGGCGGAUAUUUAAGUCAGGGGUGAAAUCCCAGAGCUCAACUCUGGAACUGCCUUUGAUACUGGGUAUCUUGAGUAUGGAAGAGGUGAGCGGAAUUCCGAGUGUAGAGGUGAAAUUCGUAGAUAUUCGGAAGAACACCGAUGGCGUAGGCAGGCGACUGGGAUAUUUCUGACGCUAAGGCACGAAAGCGUGGGUAGCGAACCGGAUUAGAUACCCGCGUAGUCCCUGUCCUUAUACA